UUAAUGGAGAGUUUGAUCCUGGCUCAGGACGAACGCUGGCGGCGUGCCUAAUACAUGCAAGUCGAGCGGGGUUAGUUAGAAGCUUGCUUCUAAUUAACCUAGCGGCGGACGGGUGAGUAACACGUAGGCAACCUGCCCACAAGACAGGGAUAACUACCGGAAACGGUAGCUAAUACCCGAUACAUCCUUUUCC
rnacentral:rRNA from 1 species